UACGUAGGGUGCAAGCGUUGUCCGGAAUUAUUGGGCGUAAAGAGCUCGUAGGCGGUCUGUCACGUCGGCUGUGAAAACUCGGGGCUCAACCCCGAGCCUGCAGUCGAUACGGGCAGACUAGAGUGCGGUAGGGGAGACUGGAAUUCCUGGUGUAGCGGUGAAAUGCGCAGAUAUCAGGAGGAACACCGGUGGCGAAGGCGGGUCUCUGGGCCGAUACUGACGCUGAGGAGCGAAAGCGUGGGGAGCAAACAGG
rnacentral:rRNA from 1 species